UUCCAGACUCCUACGGGAGGCAGCAGUGGGGGAUAUUGCACAAUGGGGGAAACCCUGAUGCAGCGACGCCGCGUGAGCGAGGAAGUAUUUCGGUAUGUAAAGCUCUGUCAGCAGGGAAGAAGAAUGACGGUACCUGAAGAAGAAGCACCGGCUAAAUACGUGCCAGCAGCCGCGGUAAUACGUAUGGUGCAAGCGUUAUCCGGAUUUACUGGGUGUAAAGGGAGCGCAGGCGGUUCUGCAAGUCUGAUGUGGAAGCCCGGGGCCCAGCCCCGGGACUGCUCUGGAAACUGCGUCGCUGGAGUACGGGAGGGGCAGGCGGAAUUCCUGGUGUAGCGGUGAAAUGCGUAGAUAUCAGGAGGAACACCGGCGGCGAAGGCGGCCUGCCGGACCGUGACUGACGUUGAGGCUCGAGAGCGUGGGGAGCAAACAGGAUUAGAUACCCCCGUAGCG
rnacentral:rRNA from 1 species